rnacentral:rRNA from 1 species
AUUGAACGCUGGCGGCAGGCCUAACACAUGCAAGUCGAACGAGCGGCGGACGGGUGAGUAAUGUCUGGGAAACUGCCUGAUGGAGGGGGAUAACUACUGGAAACGGUAGCUAAUACCGCAUACCAUCAGAUGUGCCCAGAUGGGAUUAGCUAGUUGGUGGGGUAACGGCUAACCUAGGCGACGAUCCCUAGCUGGUCUGAGAGGAUGACCAGCCACACUGGAACUGAGACACGGUCCAGACUCCUACGGGAGGCAGCAGUGGGGAAUAUUGCACAAUGGGCGCAAGCCUGAUGCAGCCAUGCCGCGUGUGGGAAGAAGGCCGUCGGGUUGUAAAGCACUUUCAGCGGGGAGGCGUUACUCGCAGAAGAAGCACCGGCUAACUCCGUGCCAGCAGCCGCGGUAAUUC